AACUUGCCUGGGGUCUGGAAGCGCAGGGAGACAUUUUAGCCCGGGCCGCCCGCGGCCGCUCCUCCGGCAAAGAAGAGGAGGAGGCGCGGCGCAGCGAAGGGAGGACUGCCUAGGCGUCCCGUCCGGCCCGGAGUCGGAGCACGGGGUCCUCCGGGGAGUUUCCAGGCCAGGCGGCCAGGACAGCGGUCACGCUGCAGCCAAGAGACGCGCGCAGUUGCUUCUCCAUCCUCCUCCCGGCGCACUUGUGCCCACACCCCCGGGCGCCCCGCCCUCCGCCGCCUUAUAGAAGGGGCCCGCACCUCGCGCGCCGCGGAGCUCCGGGCUUCCCCGAGCAGACGGCGCGGCUGCCUGAAAGCCCAGGCGCCACGGCCAGAGGAAAGAAGUGAGGCGGCGGCUACGCCCCGCAUCAUGGAGGGCAGCCCAGCCCUAGCCCCAGUCCCGGUGGACACCGACCUUCGCCGCCGCCCGCGCCCCGUCCGCCAGCUCCCGCUGCUGCUCUCCGGGCGCCGUCCUCUCCUCACCUCGAAGCCAACAUGAAGGAGACCCGGGGCGACGGGAGCGCCCCUUUCUGCACGCGCCUCAACCACUCCUACCCGGGCAUGUGGGCGCCCGAGCGCUCCGCCGCCGCGCAGGGCAACCUCACGGGGUCCCGGGCCCCCCGCGAGGACUGCGGCUCGGUGUCGGUAGCCUUCCCGAUCACCAUGUUGAUCACCGGCUUCGUGGGCAACGCGCUGGCCAUGCUGCUCGUGUCGCGGAGCUACCGGCGGCGGGAGAGCAAGCGCAAGAAGUCGUUCCUGCUGUGCAUCGGCUGGCUAGCGCUCACAGACCUGGUCGGGCAACUGCUCACCAGCCCGGUGGUCAUCGUCGUGUACCUGUCCAAGCAGCGCUGGGAGCAUCUCGACCCGUCGGGGAGGCUGUGCACCUUCUUCGGGCUGACCAUGACUGUCUUCGGGCUCUCCUCGCUCUUCAUUGCCAGCGCCAUGGCCGUCGAGCGGGCGCUGGCCAUCCGGGCGCCGCACUGGUACGCGAGCCACAUGAAGACGCGCGCCACCCGCGCCGUGCUGCUCGGCGUGUGGCUGGCGGUGCUCGCCUUCGCCCUGUUACCGGUGCUGGGCGUAGGCCAGUACACCAUCCAGUGGCCCGGGACGUGGUGCUUCAUUAGCACCGGGGGCGGGGGCAACGGGACGAGCUCUUCGCACAACUGGGGCAACAUCUUCUUCGCCUCCACCUUUGCCUUCCUGGGGCUCUCGGCGCUGGCCGUUACCUUCGCCUGUAACCUGGCCACCAUUAAGGCCCUGGUGUCCCGCUGCCGGGCCAAGGCCACGGUGUCGCAGUCCGGCGCCCAGUGGGGUCGGAUCACCACCGAGACGGCCAUCCAACUCAUGGGGAUCAUGUGCGUGCUGUCGGUCUGCUGGUCGCCGUUGCUGAUCAUGAUGUUGAAAAUGAUCUUCAAUCAGACAUCAGUUGAGCACUGCAAGACUCACACUGAAAAGCUGAAAGAAUGCAACUUCUUCUUAAUAGCUGUUCGCCUGGCUUCACUGAACCAGAUCUUGGAUCCCUGGGUUUAUCUGCUGCUAAGAAAGAUCCUUCUUCGAAAGUUUUGUCAGGGAUCACAAUGGUGACUAAGAACUCUCUCGGUCUCAGGAUAUGGGUUGCAAAUUCCAACAAAUCAGGCACCACACAAACAACUAUGCAUCCAGCUCCACCUCCUUACCCCACCAGUGCUCCUCAACCUUGAUGUGGAGUGACCAGUUGGAAAGAUAAUGAAAGAACGGAGCUGACUUUUUAUUGAAAUUCCUGCUUCCCUGAGUUUGUGUGUUUCUUCCCACCUGAGAAGGAGAAUUUAUGUUUGAUUUGGAUUGUUUCUUCAUUUUCAUCUUUUUAAAAAAUUUAAUGUUUUUUCUUGCCAGUAAUACCCACUGAAAGCAGGUUUAUGAUCAUAAUUUGUGCCUUUGAGUGUUAAAUUGGCUUCUGGGACUAGGUUUUGAGGACAUUUUUAAGAAGCUGGGGGUGAUUUCACAGAUAAUGAUUGGUGAAAAAGUGAGAAAAAGAAAAACCCAAUUUCUAGGAGUUUUCCCGCAACUUCAAACCUUUGCCUGAAUCUCAACCAGUGUGGACAUCUUUGCAUUUUAUGGUAGUUUUGAUUUUAUAAUGAGUUUGAAAAAAUCAGUAUAAGCUUUCAACAGUGAAAAGUCAACAUUUUGAGAGAAAGAAUUCAAUUAAUAGGACAUAAACUUUAAUGGGAUAGAAGAGGGUGCCGGAUGGAGGCAAGAGGGCAUCGUGACAAAAGAUACUUAUGCCAGAUGUGUGAUGAAUGUAUUGGAGAUACCGUGUCCCUCUGGGCUAAGCUUGGAACUAAACAUCUUUAGGUCUGUAUUCUGGUUAUGUGUCACUGUGUAACUCAGCAAUCAAUGUAAGUGUUAUUUGUCUUUGAAGACUGAAAGGAGUGGAUGCAGCUAAGGGUUUUCCUGAAAUGUCACAGGAAACAAUACUGAGGUUACAUGAUUAGCUGUUGUGUUAGAGCAAUAAAAAUCCAGGCACAGCCCUCUGAUUUACCACUAUCUGUUCAGGAUUUCUUAAACUUUCUUCCCACAUGGCAUACAAAAAGGUAAAAUUAAUAAGUGACAUAGUUAUUCAAUAUCAAAUUACUUUUUGAGAAAUAAAGAAAUCUAUUUUAUCUGAAUUGAAAUGAGAAACUCUAUGAGCUUUUAACAAAUACUUUUGAGUCAUUGGAUGUCUUUCAGCUAAUGUCCUUACCUGUUUGUAAAUUCAACCAAUCUUUCUUUCUCUUGCCUCUCUUCCCCAACCCCGCACCUUCCUCCUUCUUUUUCCUCUCCUCAUUCACUUAAUUCAACACAUAUUUAUUGAGUGUCCUUCUUUAAGCACUGUACUAAGGGCCAUGCUGUCACCUACAAGGACAUCUUAGGAAGACACGAUAAUAUGGUAUCAGUAGUUUUGCCAUAGGAGCAUAUACUGCGGCUCCACCGUCCUCCCUGCCAACUAGAUUAAACCAAAACAGUGAGUCAUUCCUUUCAAUAGUUGAGUCAGUUGCGGGUUAGCUGGAAACCACAAUUAUUUUCACUCAAACUUGUAUUUUAAACGGCUUUAUGUAACUCACACACAGAUGAUGCCAGACACAAUCCCUUUAUUCAGGUUUAAAUUCAGUGAGUUUUAUUGAGCAAGUAGAAUUUGCCAGCAAUCAUAAGAAUGCCCAUGCUUCUGUUACUGCUAUCUGCCCAUCAUCCAUCUAUGUGGUUGUCUAGUUGCCAUAUAUUUUUUUUAUUUGUACAAAAGAGGCCUAAGGCUGCAGAGGGCUUGCCCAACGUCACAUGGCUAAUAUAAGUAAGAAUUUAGAUCUAGUGUAAGUUCUUUGAUUCCAGGUUUAUUUUCUUUCUAUAGUACAGUGGGGAUGUGAGAUCUGUUUCAAUAAUAUUCCAUUUCUAAGACAAUGUGAUGUAGUAAUAGAAGCAUGGGUUUUGGAAUGAAACUUGGAUUUAAAUCUGGCUGUGUCACUCACUAACUCCAUGACUUUGAGAAAUUUAAUUGAUUGCAUUGAAUCUCAAUGAAUUAAUCUAUAAAUUAAAGAUAAUAAUACUUACCUGUGGGGUUAUUGUGAUAAUGUAUGUAAAGUGAGUCUAACACAGUAGAUACUCAGUAAGUACUGACUGCAAUAAAUUCUUUAUCCAGACUUAUCUCCAACUGUAUAAUAUGAGUUCUCAAUUUCAACUACAAACUGGCUUCCUGAUUGUGUAGGCUUACAUGUCAUGGACAGAAUCAACUUCAAAUCUCUUGAUGCUGUUCUUGCUUAUAAUACCUCAUGAUUAUUUUUCCCCAUGUAAAACCUACACUUCUCCCACAUGUACAAAUUUGACCUUGCCCUUGGGUCUUGAACAGUUAAAGUAUCUUUUUUCUCUUCUUAACUCUAUGCUACUCUGAAGUUACACAGUGAUCAUUUUGAUGAUUAUUGUAUUAUUCUUCAAAUAUUUUCAUUAUGUAUGUCUUUUUCCCUUAACAAAAAUUCUAUUUCAUGGUGGACAGGACCCUUUUCUUAUAUUUUCUUCAUAGAUCUGUUAGCACUAGUACAGUAUUUGACACCAAGAAAGAUGCUCCUUAUUUGGUAAAUUCUCAACAAAAGUAACAUUUAUGUACAAUAUUAGCAGUUGCAAAUUUAAAUGAAUGUGAUAGAAAGCCCUUUAUUUCCAUGUUGCUAUUUAACUUGGGAAAUUUUAUGUUAAACUUUUCUGAUUUAAAAAUGUUAAUCCAGGGGCACCUGGGUGGCUCAGUCAUUAAGCGUCUGCCUUCGGCUCAGGUCAUGAUCCCAGGGUCCUGGGAUCGAGCCCCACAUCAAGCCUCGCAUCGAGCCCCGCAUCGAGCCCUGCAUCGAGCCCCACAUCAAGACCCACAUCGGCUCCCUGCUCCGCAGGAAGCCUGCUCCUCCCUCUCCCACUCCCCCUGCUUGUGUUCCCUCUCUCACUGUCAAAUAAAUUAAUAAAAUCUAAAAUAAAAUGCUAAUCCAGGCAGAAUAAUCACUUGUGGUUUAACAUGAUAAUGUUUAUUAAAAUUCUAUAGGUGAAUGUCAUAAGGUAAUAAAAUGAUUGGAAAAGUUUGAAAAAUAAUGACUAUUUGGUAAAGAUAUUUCUCACAUAAUUAGGAAUGAUCUUUGUCCAAUUAGUUUGAAAUCUGAUGGAAAGACAGUAUAUGUAUGUAUAAAAUACUUUUGAAGCUUUAAUUUUUAAUCCACAGAAAUGUAUCCAUUUCAUUAAAUUCACCCAAAAUAAUAAGUUCUGUAACAUAUGUUCUCAAAUAUUCAGGAUCAUGAUUCAGCAACACACUGAUUUUUAACAAGUGCUUUCCUCCUCAUUUUUUAAAUUAUCUUGCAUAAACAUUGAUUCUCAUAAUUACGUAAUGAGGUUACAAUGAGAAUAGAACUAGCCCUCAAAAUAAAAUGAAUUUCUGCCAAAGAGUUAGAGAAACGGGGCUUGAUCUACAGUUUUAUUGUAAUUAUAGUACCUACUGUAGAGCUCUGUGGAAUACAUAUGCAAAAAAAAUCCGUGAUAUUAAUAUGCUUUGCAGCUGAGUUGUAUAGACUUGGUUCUUGACUACAUAUAAUAUAUCGUGUAAUUUUAGACCUGUGACUUUUGUGUUGGAAGAACGAAUUCCUGCCUACUCCCACCUCCCUCCGAUUACAGAUUUCCUACAGCACCACCACAAGCCAAUGUGAAAUAAACAAACAAACAAAAAUAUACACCCAACUAUGCUGCCCUCAGGAGAGGGUAUUGUGAAGAGGAGUGGCAUAUAAGGGAAUGGCAUACAGGGAAUAUUAGGGUUGGAAAAUUAGGCUUCUAUGAGAAGCUACAUUUAUCCAAAUUCUCCCAAGGAGGGAGGAGAAAACUAGAGUCAUUAUGUUUUAUAUGUAAAUGUGUAUAUGUGUCUUACAGUUAUAAGUGGAUUUUGGUCCAUGAAAUAUAUGAAAAUUCAGACAGAGUUGAAUUACUCCACAUUUUUACUGUCUAUAAGAAUGACUUUUUAAAAUUAAAUAAUAGAACCCAGAUUAUAAAGGAGCCAUAUAAACUAUUUAAGAGAAAAAAAUUUUUCAACAUCUUCAGUAGUUGGAGGCACACUCAAAAGAAACUUAUUGCUAAGAUAAUUAUUCAGGUACCUUAAGGAUCUGUAUAAGAUAUACUUAGCUUGAUAUACUUUUAAUGAUGAUGAAUACUUCAAUGUUUAAUUGUUGUCUUAAAAAUAUUUGUGCUCAUAUUUUUCAUUAAUCCAGGCUUUUACUGAAUAUUUUGUUAAUUCAAAAUAUCUCUAAGCUCAUCCCAUGGAUAAAAGUAUUUCUCCAUUUCAUUCAGGUUCUAAGGCUUUAUUUUUUUUAUUAUCUGAAGUGCCUUUUUAUAUAAAAAUAAUUUGUACAAAAUGUAUUUUUAAGAGCUUUUAUACUUUGUUUUAACAAAAUUCUCAAUCACAUUGUAAGCUCCUUGUGGGCAGGACCCAUGUUUAUGUUUUAUGUAUCUCUUGUACCUACAGAGCCUAGAACAGUACUAAGCUCACAGAAAUUACUCAAUAAAAACUUGAUGGAGAGGCUAAGUGGCCAGACUGCAA